GUGAACGCUGGCGGUAGGCCUAACACAUGCAAGUCGAACGGCAGCACAGUAAGAGCUUGCUCUUACGGGUGGCGAGUGGCGGACGGGUGAGGAAUACAUCGGAAUCUACUUUUUCGUGGGGGAUAACGUAGGGAAACCUACGCUAAUACCGCAUACGACCUACGGGUGAAAGCAGGGGAUCUUCGGACCUUGCGCGAUUGAAUGAGCCGAUGUCGGAUUAGCUAGUUGGCGGGGUAAAGGCCCACCAAGGCGACGAUCCGUAGCUGGUCUGAGAGGAUGAUCAGCCACACUGGAACUGAGACACGGUCCAGACUCCUACGGGAGGCAGCAGUGGGGAAUAUUGGACAAUGGGCGCAAGCCUGAUCCAGCCAUACCGCGUGGGUGAAGAAGGCCUUCGGGUUGUAAAGCCCUUUUGUUGGGAAAGAAAAGCAGCAGGUUAAUACCCCGCUGUUCUGACGGUACCCAAAGAAUAAGCACCGGCUAACUUCGUG
rnacentral:rRNA from 1 species